GAUGAACGCUAGCGGCAGGCUUAAUACAUGCAAGUCGAACGGGAAUUGGGUAGCAAUACCUGAUGAUAGUGGCGCACGGGUGCGUAACGCGUAUGCAACCUACCUUUAACAGGGGGAUAGCCCGGAGAAAUUCGGAUUAAUACCCCAUAGUAUUAUGGAGAGGCAUCUUUUCAUGAUUAAAGUUCCGGCGGUUAAAGAUGGGCAUGCGUGCCAUUAGCUAGUUGGUGAGGUAACGGCUCACCAAGGCGACGAUGGUUAGGGGUCCUGAGAGGGUUAUCCCCCACACUGGUACUGAGACACGGACCAGACUCCUACGGGAGGCAGCAGUAAGGAAUAUUGGUCAAUGGGCGGAAGCCUGAACCAGCCAUGCCGCGUGCAGGAAGACGGCCUUAUGGGUUGUAAACUGCUUUUGUCAGGGAAUAAACCCUCGUUUGCGAACGAGGCUGAAGGUACCUGAAGAUAAGCAUCGGCUAACUCCGUG
rnacentral:rRNA from 1 species